rnacentral:rRNA from 1 species
UACGGGAGGCAGCAGUGGGGAAUUUUCCGCAAUGGGCGAAAGCCUGACGGAGCAACGCCGCGUGAGGGAUGAAGGCCUCUGGGCUGUAAACCUCUUUUAUCAAGGAAGAAGAUCUGACGGUACUUGAUGAAUAAGCCACGGCUAAUUCCGUGCCAGCAGCCGCGGUAAUACGGGAGUGGCAAGCGUUAUCGGGAAUUAUUGGGCGUAAAGCGUCCGCAGGCGGCCCAACAAGUCUGCUGUUAAAAAGUGGAGCUUAACUCCAUCAUGGCAGUGGAAACUGUUGGGCUAGAGUGUGGUAGGGGCAGAGGGAAUUCCCGGUGUAGCGGUGAAAUGCGUAGAUAUCGGGAAGAACACCAGUGGCGAAGGCGCUCUGCUGGGCCAUCACUGACGCUCAUGGACGAAAGCCAGGGGAGCGAAAGGGAUUAGAUACCCCUGUAGUCCUGGCCGUAAACGAUGAACACUAGGUGUCGGGGGAAUCGACCCCUCCGGUGUCGUAGCCAACGCGUUAAGUGUUCCGCCUGGGGAGUACGCACGCAAGUGUGAAACUCAAAGGAAUUGACGG